rnacentral:rRNA from 1 species
AACCCAGGUUAAGCGGAUCAUCCAUUGAGUUUUAAGAAUAUCAAUAAUUAAGGAAAAGAAACUUACCAGGAUUCUAAUACUAAUGGUGUGUGAACUGAGAAAUGCUUAGCUUGAGAAUUGAGCACCCUCAACAUCUAAAUUGUAGUCUAAAAAGGUGAUUUUAGUGAUGGACUAAGCCAAGUCCCCUGGAAAAAGACACCAGAAAGGGUGAAAACCCCAUUGUGCCUAGACCCUAUUGAACCAUGAGGCACUAUAUGCAAGUUUGAUUAUUUGGGAAUACAGUCCAGUAGGGUGGUAAAUUUCAUCCAAGGUUGGAUACGAGCAAAAAACUAAUAAUGAACAAGUAUUACGAGGAAAAGAUGAAAAAACUUUGAAGAAAGAGUCAAAGAGUGCUUAAAAUUGUCAGAAGAGGUGGGCUAGUGAUGUGCUCUAGUCAGAUGUAGAAUGACAAGAGCUAAUCUAUCAAUUAGCUUAGGGUGUGGACUGAUGAGGGUAGUGGCACCAACCCAAGCCUAAGCUUUUGAUAUGCUCACAGAGACAUCAUUGCCAUGAUUAUGGAAUGCAGCAUGCACUAUCUUGACAUGCCUUAGCAUCGAUGUGCUCUCGAUGUCAGUCUGCAAGCUCCACAUCUAGCAUGUUUUGAGACAUGAUCCAAAGAGUCUAACAUGUGUGCAAGUCAACGGGCUAGAAAACCCAUAAGGCAUAAGGAAGCUAAUUGGCAAGAUCGAGAUCCCUCACGGGUGCACCGUCAAUCAACCGUGAUCUUCUUAGAAGGGUUCGAGUGUAAGCAUACCUGUCGAGACCCAAAAGACGAUGAACUCUACCUUAAACUAAAGGAAACUCGGGUGAAGGUCCGUAGUGAUACUGAUGUGCAAAUCAUUUGUUUGACUUAGGUAUAGGGGCGAAAGACAAAUCAAACUAUCUAGUAGCUGGUUCCCUCAAAAGUUUCCCUCAGGAUAGCUGGAGCUCUUAUCAAGUUUUAUCGAGUAAAGCCAAUGAUUAAAGGCAUCAAGGGAGCAAUGCCCUCAACCUAUUCUCAAACUUUAAAGAGGUAGGAUGAUUGCUUUAUUCAACUACACCAUGAAAUUGAUAGGUCUAAGUGGGCCAUUUUUGGUAAGUAGACUUAACAAUGCAAGACGAGCUAGAAGCCAAGUUAUGGUGCCAACUGCAUGCUAACCUAGAACCCACAAAAGGUGUUGGUCAAUUAGGAUAGCAAGAUAGUGGUCAAGGAAGUUGAAAUCCAUUAAAGAGUGUGUAACAACUCACUUACAAAAUCAACUAGCCCCGAAAAUGGAUGGCACUUAAGUGCAGACCUAUACUCAGUUGUUAAGGUAAGAGCCAAGCCUUGAUGAGUAAGAAGGCACCACAGUCACCGUAAAACUAGGAGCACGAGCCUGGGUAGAAUGGUUAUCGAUGCAUAUUUUACUGGUAGUAGCAAAUAUUCAAAUGAGAACUUUGGAGGCCGAAUAGGGAAAAGAUUCCAUAUGAACGACCCUUGCACAUGGGUUAGUCAAUCCUAAAAAAUGGGGGAAACCUUUUCGAUAGCACAUUCAACAUGAACUUCAAAAUGGAAUCGAGUUAAAAUUCUUGAACUGGGAUACAAUGGCUGAUGGCAAUAUUAGGGAGUUUGGAGAUGUCGGUGUAAGCCUUAAGAAAAGUUAUUUUUUUGUUUAACGACCUACCUAUGCUAGAAGCAGCUUAGUCAAAGGUAGGGUCUAGUGGACGAAAGAGCACUACACAUCACGUGGUGUCUAAUGGACCCCUGACGACCUUUGUAAAGAAGACUAAGUGCUGUCUACACUUGGUCAUACUCAUAAUUGCAUUAAGUCUUUAAGGUAAACAGCAUCUAGUCAAUGGAACAAUAUGGCAAGGGAAGUUGGCAAAAUAGAUUCGUAACCCAGGGAAAAGAAUUGGCUUUGAAGUUAGGCAUGAGAGUCCCAAUCUUGAACCUAUCGAUUGUUGGUACACUACUCAAGCUAUUCUCACAGUGAGAGUGGGUCAUUGCAUGCUGACCAGGGGAUGAAUAGGGAAUGGCUCCUUCAUAGGCCUUCCCCAAGCGAUGGACAAUCGAUUUAAAACUUGUAUGCAUAAGGGGAAUCUGACUAUUUAAUUAAAACAAAACAUUUUGAUGGUCCCUAUGGAUGAUUACGCAUUAUGAUUUCUACCUAAUUCUUUAAAUGUCAAUAAAAAAAAUUCAGCCAAGUGCAGGUAUGUGGUGAAAGUAACUAUGACUCUUUUAAGGUAGCCAAAUGCCACACCAUCUAAUUAGUGACAUGCACGAAUGUAUUAACGAGAUUUCCACUACCCUAUCUACUAUCCAACGAAACCAUAGCCAAAGGAACAGGCAAGAAUUAGUAGGGAAAGAAGACCUUGUCAAGCUUGACUCUAGUUUUACUUUGUGAAAUGACUUGAAAGGUGUAGGAUAAAUGGGAACCCUUGGCCAAAAUUGAAAUACCACUACUUUUAACAUUAUUUUACUUAUUCCAUGAAUUAGAGGUUGGGCAUGACCUUUUCUUUUGGACCCAAGACUGGCUUCAAUCAAUUGAUCUGGGUGAAAGACAUUGACAAGUGGGGAGUAUGGUUAGGAAAGCACAUCUAUUAAAAGAUAACGCAGGUGUCCUAAGAUGAGCUUAACAAUAACAAAAAUCUCAUGUGGAACAAAAGGGUAAAAGCUUGUUUGAUUUUGAUUUUUAAUACGAAUAUGAACUGUGAAAAUGUAGCCUAUCAAUCCUUUAGACCUUCAAAAUUUAAAGCUAGAGAUGUCAAAAAAUUUACCAUAGGGAUAAUUGGCUUAUGGCAACCAAGCGUUCAUAGCAACAUCACUUUUUGUUUCGUCGAUGUUGGCUCUUUCUAUCAUUAUGAAGUAGAAUUAACCAAGUGUUGGAUUGUUCAACCAUUAAUAGGGAACGUGAACUAGGUUUAGAUCUUCAUAGGAUAGGUUAGUUUUACCCUAUUGAUGGCAGGUCACAUUAGUAAUUUAACCUAGUACGAGAAGAAUUAUUGAUUUGUACAAUUGGUCAUUGCUCUCGGUUAAAAAGCUAAUGGCACAAAACUACCAUGUGCUAGAUUAUGACUGAAUGCCUCUAAGUCAGAAUCCAGGCAAAAAAUGAUGCAUGUGCCCAUCACUCGAUUGUCAACCCAUAGAAAGGGCCUAUUGCCCCUAAGGGCACGUAUUGUAGGUGUAGCCCCUAUUGUGAACAAGUCACAUAGGCCUCCUUGGAGCUCAAUUCCCAUCAAACGAUGGUUAGAAUCCUUUACA